rnacentral:sRNA from 1 species
GCGAGGAAUUGUGUGAAUUUCUAAGGCAUAUUUGAGUUACCAUCUGGAGACAUAAUUGAAUUGCGCCCAAUCAGCUCCAAUUGUCCGCAUUGUGGAUCGAUCGAAUGGCAAUUAUCAUGGCAUCAGCACUGGAAACUUUAUCGAACUCUGGGAAUCGUUGUGGGCACUUGGCAAACAGUCAAAGAGGAAGAUGCGACACUAAAAAUGUAUAUUUUCCGCGUAUAAUUCUGUUUUAAUUGCGGCCACUAAGAAUAGAACGUCUUCAUUUGGACAAGGUGCGAUCAUCGCUCAGGAAGAGCUAUUUCCGCCGGAGGUUAUCCCCAGGCCUGCACCCGUAUCCCGUCGAAAAAGAUUGCCUUGAGUCACUCGACAAAUCUGCGUGCGCGGGUCGCACUGCGACUGCAGAAUCUUAUCUAGUGAAAGAUUUGGUAUAUCAUAAAAAAAGAGGCGUUCUGAUUUAUCAUCCCCCAACUGUGACAUCAUUUUGCCGGACAAGAGAUGGAUUCCGAAGUGUUUUCUAGGAAGAUCCAAAGAUCAUAUUCGCAAUACAUACAUACAUAGGUAUCUUUCCAUGACUGGCCAUAAUGGUUGGAAACAAUAAGGGAGUUCGUUGUGAAAUGGUAAUUAAGUAUUCAUUAUCAUAUUUGAUUUAGUUUGACGGAGGAGUGUCGUGAAACACGGGGCGGACGAGCAGACGAGGUGAAUAUAAAUAUCAUUUGUGGA